ACUCCUACGGGAGGCAGCAGUGGGGGAAUCUUUGGACAAUGGGGGCGAACCCUCGAUCCAGCCAUGCCGCGUGAGUGAUGAAGGCCUUAGGUCGUAAAGCUCUUUCGCCUGUGAUGAUAAUGACAGUAGCAGGUAAAGAAACCCCGGCUAACUCCGUGCCAGCAGCCGCGGUAAUACGGAGGGGUUAGCGUUGUUCGGAAUUACUGGGCGUAAAGCGCGCGUAGGCGGAUUAGUCAGUUAGAGGUGAAAUCCCAGGGCUCAACCCUGGAACUGCCUUUAAUACUGCUAGUCUUGAGUUCGAGAGAGGUGAGUGGAAUUCCGAGUGUAGAGGUGAAAUUCGUAGAUAUUCGGAGGAACACCAGUGGCGAAGGCGGCUCACUGGCUCGAUACUGACGCUGAGGUGCGAAAGUGUGGGGGAGCAAACAGGAUUAGAUACCCUGGUAGGAUAGCG
rnacentral:rRNA from 1 species